GUCUUGCAAUACAACUUCUUUAGCUUAGCCUUUGAGUAACCUCAAAAUUAUGGUCUAUAAUUACAUUACACUUUGUCAUGUGAAUUUGUGGCAUCUUAGAAGUUUUCUAACCCUAUUGAGGUUGCCUUCAUACAGCUCAUUUAGCAAUUAUGUUCGCUGCUUUAAAAGUUAUUGAUGACUAGUGUUAAGCAUGAGCAACACGGAAGAUUAAUGGUUUUUGUUCCCCAAAAAAGGAGGAUGG
rnacentral:lncRNA from 1 species